rnacentral:rRNA from 1 species
CAGCCGCCGCGGGAAUACAGAGGGUGCGAGCGUUAAUCGGAUUUACUGGGCGUAAAGCGUGCGUAGGCGGCUUCUUAAGUCGGAUGUGAAAUCCCUGAGCUUAACUUAGGAAUUGCAUUCGAUACUGGGAAGCUAGAGUAUGGGAGAGGAUGGUAGAAUUCCAGGUGUAGCGGUGAAAUGCGUAGAGAUCUGGAGGAAUACCGAUGGCGAAGGCAGCCAUCUGGCCUAAUACUGACGCUGAGGUACGAAAGCAUGGGGAGCAAACAGGAUUAGAGACCCGUGUAGUCCCUGUCUCUUAUAC